rnacentral:tRNA from 1 species
GGCUUGCUGGUCUAGUGGUAUGAUUCUCGCUUUGGGUGCGUGAGGUCACGGGUUCGAUUCCCGUGCAAGCCC